UUCCUUCAAACAUCUUCUAGGCUUGGACAGGAUAGAGGUACAACAUGAUCCAUCGUCGGGAGGUAAACACUUGCCUGCUACAGCUCUACCUCAGUAUAAAGUCACGCACCUUUUGCAGGACGCGAUAGAAACAUCUACAGAACUCAGCAGAAUUUUGCAAAUAGCAGAAGACACCAAAGAUGCUUUCUUUUUAAAAGCGUAUCUGCUUGGGAAAAGGAGGCAAUUAGGCCAAACAAUGGCCUUGUGCAGUACAAAUGUGUUCCCCGUUUUACACAGAUGAUCCAGAAAACAUGUCAGAGGGCAGUUUCUUGGUGCUUCUUUGCACAGAAACUUCUAGAGCAGAAUUAAAUUCCAGCAUUUUUUUGAG